rnacentral:rRNA from 1 species
UACAGAGGGUGCAAGCGUUAAUCGGAUUUACUGGGCGUAAAGGGCGCGUAGGUGGUUGCGUAAGUGAGAUGUGAAAUCCCCGGGCUUAACCUGGGAACUGCAUCUUAAACUGCGUGGCUGGAGUGAAGUAGAGGGUAGUGGAAUUUCCGGUGUAGCGGUGAAAUGCGUAGAUAUCGGAAGGAACACCAGUGGCGAAGGCGGCUACCUGGACUUACACUGACACUGAGGCGCGAGAGCGUGGGUAGCAAACAGG